CCUACGGGUGGCAGCAGUGAGGAAUAUUGGUCAAUGGACGCAACUCUGAACCAGCCAAGUAGCGUGCAGGAUGACUGCCCUAUGGGUUGUAAACUGUUUUUAUACGGGAAUCAACUGAGGCACGUGCGCCUUAUUGCAUGUACUUUAUUAAUAAGGACCGGCUAAUUCCGUGACAGCAGCCGCGGUACUACGGAGGGUCCGUGCUUUAUCCGGAUUUAUUGGGUUUAAAGGGAGCGCAGGAGGGUCGUUAAGUAGGUUGUGAAAGGAUGCGGCUCAACCGUACAAUUGCAAUUGAUACUGGGUGGCUUGAGUGAAUUAGAGGUAAGCGGAAUGCGUGGUGUAGCGGUGAAAUGCUUAGAUAUCACGAAGAACUCCGAUUGCGAAGGCAGCUUACUAAAGUGUAACUGACGCUGAUGCUCGAAAGUGUGGGUAUCGAACAGGAUUAGAUACCCGAGUAGUC
rnacentral:rRNA from 1 species